rnacentral:rRNA from 1 species
AACGAACGCUGGCGGCGUGCUUAACACAUGCAAGUCGAACGAGAAAGAUUUCUUCGGAAAUUGAGUAGAGUGGCGCACGGGUGAGUAACGCGUAGGUAAUCUACCCUUAUAUUUGGGAUAACAUUGGGAAACUGGUGCUAAUACCGAAUGGUCUUCAUUGCUUUGGGGCGAUGGAGUAAAGGUGGCCUCUUCAUGAAAGCUACCGUGUAGGGAUGAGCCUGCGUACCAUUAGCUAGUAGGUGGGGUAAUGGCCCACCUAGGCGACGAUGGUUAGCGGGUCUGAGAGGAUGAUCCGCCACACUGGAACUGGAACACGGACCAGACUCCUACGGGAGGCAGCAGUGAGGAAUAUUGCGCAAUGGGGGAAACCCUGACGCAGCGACGCCGCGUGAGUGAGGAAGGUUUUCGGAUCGUAAAGCUCUGUCAGAAGGGAAGAAGUGUUAUGUGGUUAAUACCCAUGUAAUUUGACGGUACCUUCAGAGGAAGCACCGGCUAACUCCGUG